UUGUUGUCGUCUCUCUCUUUCUCGAGCUUUUCCCGACAAAAACCGAGUCAUGCGAGAUCACCAUGAUUCGAGUCGAUCUGAACCAUGCUCACUUCUCCAGGUGGUUUCUCGGAAUCGAAAGAUGGCAAAGAUCUGCCAGUACUUCUAAUGGUCUCUUCAAUACUUCACUAUUGGUCUCUUCAAUACUCCAUGUUCCGUUAUCUAACACGCUUUCACCUCUUGCUACAACAAUUAUUUUCAUUGCAUUAUCUUCAUCGAAUUUUUCAUCCUGAAGAAGAUGAUUAUUGUAACUUGUUCGGUGGAGCAUCUGAUACUCUUGAGUAAGAACCCGAUUGUAACAUGGUGAUGGUGUUUGUGAAGUCCUCCAAGUCCAAAUACCAAUCAUGAUUGUGAGAAGAGCUGUGAAGAACUCAACUGUUGUUCCUAGAGGUGGAGCUAUAGAUAUGGAGAUAAGCAAGUACCUGAGGCAGCAUUCAAGAACUAUUGCUUGGAAGUCACAGCUUUUCAUCAACUCUUAUGCGAAGGCUCUGGAGAUGACUUGGGAUGGGCAAACAGGUCCAUGGCUAAUAUCAAUAUCAAAACAAAUGGUUGUUUGUCUGAUACACAUGGUUUAGCAAACAGGUCCAUGACUAAUAUCAAAAGGCAAGAGUCAUAUAUAUACUCAUACGUUGCCACUUCUCCUUGAAACAGAUCUUAACUUGGAUUCGUCAAGCGAGUUUGUUAAGCCGCAGGUCUCUGAAAAACUUUCUUUUUGGAUGUAAAAGGUAAAAUGAUUCUUAAUGAGCUGAUAUUUUUUAUUUUUGCAUAUGUUGACUGGUUAUAUAUAGAGGUUGUAGAUGUUUAGGGUUAGCUUUGAUUGUAAAGCGAGAAAAUCUUGGUGAUUAAGUUCAAAAUCUUGAAAAUCUCGCUAUUUAAAAUGUAUGGUAACUAUAUAAAGCAUAUUCUUUAAAUCCGAUUGUUAAGGUAAAUACUCUUUAAAAAAUCGUUGAUAUGCA